AUGUUGUAUUAUUUCUCUCGAACUGUAUUUAUAGCCCGAUGGUGUUUCGAGCCGUUUGUUCAAGCUUCAGCGGCCUUCAGUCAGCGCGUGGUCACAGUGUCCAGAGAAAUUUAUAUCAGAAGAGAAAUUCUGCAAGGGGUGCCCAAACUUUCGAGCCCCACUGUAUAUAAAAUGUUUUUAGGUCAGAUAGCAAAUGUUGCCAUUCUUCUGGAAAACUGCUGGUCUUUAAAGAACAGUCAUCAAUCAGGAUCCUCUGUUCCCAGGCCCAACCAUUCAUCUGAAGGACUGUGAAAAUAUGAACCCUUUGAACCACCGGUGACAGUUUCCACAUGAUAAAUAGAAAGGACAUGGCAGAGGACGAUAGGGGUAUUGAUAUUUCACUGAAAUUAAAUAUAAUUUAAUUACAUUUAGUCUGCUAGUCAGAAUUAUAGCUGAUUGAAUAAAAAUAAAUAGUGGUUCA
ensembl:lncRNA